CCAGUAGUCAUAUGCUUGUCUCAAAGAUUAAGCCAUGCAUGUCUAAGUAUAAAUUCUUGUACGAUGAAACUGCAGACGGCUCAUUACAACAGUGAUAAACUAAUAGACUUUCGGGUUUUUAACCUUUUGGAUAACCGCAGUAAAUCGGGGCUAAUACAUAGAAGCGAUGGGCGACUGGUAACGGAAGCUCAGCGAUUAUUAGCAUUACUACCAAUACCUUCGGGUCUUGUGGUGAAACCGAAUAAUAUUGCAGAUCGAGGAUUUAUCUUCGACAAGUCUACUGUGUCACUGCCCUAUCAACUUUCGAUGGUACGGUAUUGGCCUACCAUGGUUGUAACGGGUAACGGGGAAUUAGGGUUCGAUUCCGGAGAGGGAGCCUGAGAAAUGGCUACCACUUCUACGGAAGGCAGCAGGCGCGCAAAUUACUCAAUCCCAAUACGGGGAAGUAGUGACAAUAAAUAUCAAUACCUAUCCUUAACGGAGGGCAAUUGAAAUGAACACAAAUUAAAACUCUUAAUUAACACAAUUGGAGGGCAAGUCUGGUGCCAGCAGCCGCGGUAAUUCCAGCUCCAAUAGCAUAUACUAAAGUUGUUGCAGUUAAAAAGCUCGUAGUUGAAGUUAAAGGUUUACUGGGCUAAAGUUAUUUGCCGCUCUGGUGGUUAAAUCAACUCCAGUAUCUCUUUUUUUAAUAGUUCAGCUUCUAUUAUCUUUGAUAGUAGUUGUUUGGACAUUUCACUGUGAGAAAAUUGUGGUGUUUAAAGCAGGCGUUUCGCCUGAUCUUUUGCAGCAUGGUAUGAUGAAACAUGACAUUUUACGCUAUUGGUUUGCGUCUAAAGUGUAAUGAUUAAUAGGGAUGGAUGGGGGUGUUCAUAUUGGUGGGCGAGAGGUGAAAUUCGUUGACCCUAUCAAGAUGAACUUCUGCGAAAGCAUUCACCAAAUACUUCCCCAUUAAUCAAGAACGAAAGUUUGGGGAUCGAAGACGAUCAGAUACCGUCGUAGUCCAAACUAUAAACUAUGUCGACCAGGGAUCGGUUAAAAUUUUUUUAAAAUUUAAUCGGCACCUUGUGAGAAAUCACGAGUGUUUAGAUUCCGGGGGGAGUAUGGUCGCAAGUCUGAAACUUAAAGGAAUUGACGGAAGGGCACACAAUGGAGUGGAGCCUGCGGCU
rnacentral:rRNA from 1 species